rnacentral:rRNA from 1 species
UACGAAGGGGACUAGCGUUGUUCGGAAUCACUGGGCGUAAAGGGCGCGUAGGCGGACAGUUUAGUCAGAGGUGAAAGCCCAGGGCUCAACCUUGGAAUUGCCUUUGAUACUGGCUGUCUUGAGUUCGGGAGAGGUGAGUGGAAUGCCGAGUGUAGAGGUGAAAUUCGUAGAUAUUCGGCGGAACACCAGUGGCGAAGGCGACUCACUGGCCCGAUACUGACGCUGAGGCGCGAAAGCGUGGGGAGCAAACAGG